UAAUACGUAGGGUGCGAGCGUUAAUCGGAAUUACUGGGCGUAAAGGGUGCGCAGGCGGUCUUGUAAGUCAGAUGUGAAAUCCCCGGGCUUAACCUGGGAACUGCGUUUGAAACUACAAGACUAGAGUGUAGCAGAGGGGGGUGGAAUUCCACGUGUAGCAGUGAAAUGCGUAGAUAUGUGGAAGAACACCGAUGGCGAAGGCAGCCCCCUGGGUUAACACUGACGCUCAGGCACGAAAGCGUGGGGAGCAAACAGGAUUAGAUACCCUGGUAGUCC
rnacentral:rRNA from 1 species